rnacentral:rRNA from 1 species
GACGAACGCUGGCGGCGUGCUUAACACAUGCAAGUCGAACGGUGAACCAGGGCUUGCCCUGGGGAUCAGUGGCGAACGGGUGAGUAACACGUGGGCAACCUGCCCCUGACUCUGGGAUAACUUCGGGAAACCGAAGCUAAUACCGGAUACGACCUCUGACGGCAUCGUCGGAGGUGGAAAGUUUUUCGGUCAGGGAUGGGCCCGCGGCCUAUCAGCUUGUUGGUGGGGUAACGGCCCACCAAGGCGACGACGGGUAGCCGGCCUGAGAGGGCAACCGGCCACACUGGGACUGAGACACGGCCCAGACUCCUACGGGAGGCAGCAGUGGGGAAUAUUGCGCAAUGGGCGAAAGCCUGACGCAGCGACGCCGCGUGAGGGAUGAAGGCCUUCGGGUUGUAAACCUCUUUCAGCAGGGACGAAGCGAAAGUGACUGUACCUGCAGAAGAAGCACCGGCUAACUACGUGCCAGCCGCCGCAGUAAGAC